UACGGGGGGAGCAAGCGUUGUUCGGAUUUACUGGGCGUAAAGGGCGCGUAGGCGGCACCGCAAGUCGACUGUGAAAUCUCCGGGCUUAACCCGGAAAGGUCAGCCGAUACUGCGGGGCUAGAGUGCAGAAGGGGCAACUGGAAUUCUCGGUGUAGCGGUGAAAUGCGUAGAUAUCUGGAGGAAUACCGGUGGCGAAGGCGGCAUCCUGGACCGACAUUGACGCUGAUGAGCGAAAGCUAGGGGAGCAAACGGG
rnacentral:rRNA from 1 species